AUGUACAUUUUAAAGAGUUCAGAGUACAGUAAAAAAAUAUGUUUAUAACAUCAUUGCAUUUAAUAUCAAUAGUGUGACCAGUUUUACUCAAUCUGUACUCUUCCAUUUCUCUCCAAAAUCUAAUAGUGUACAAACAACUGUAUAACAAAUGUAUCAGCGUUUCAGGUCCAUCAUUGUAGAAAGUACAUGUCAUGUCUGUAAACCUUAACACCAUUGUGUUGGAGGGGUAUAUAUUGUGCAAAAUCUUUCGGUGCACCUUUCUUAAUAGAAAUAAAAAGAAAUUAAGAUACAAAGCUUUUUGCCAUGAAAUGUCUGAUAGUUGUAAAUUCCAAAAGGGUUUCCCUCUUAUGUGUGAUCUUUCUUUUGCUAGAAAAAAUAUUAUCUUAUGUGUUUAUUUGUACACUUAGGACUUUUGAGUUCAAUACCAUUAAUCAAUAGACUAGGUUCUAGUCUAUGUGUAUCUUGAAAACAUGUAUGACUUUUCAUUAGCUGGGAAAUACCUGAGGGCAUAGCAUUAACCACAGAGCGAUAUUCUUUGUAUGUAACAGGAAAGGCUUUGACUCUUAAAAAGACCUUGUAACUUAACAUUUGGCCACCACUAUCAAACAUGUCACCUACAAAGAUGAUAUUUAAAAAAGAAAUAUGAAAAAGUAAUUGAAAAAUAAUUUCCAUUCCAUAAAGGCUUGCUGAUUACAUUUUGAUAACAUUAGUGGCAGUUUGGGUAUGUUGUAAUUAUAGGACAACCAAGGGUAAUUAUAGGACAACCUAACCCUAACCCUAACCCUAACCCAAAUUGUGAACCCCCAAUUUUCUUACAAAUAUAAUGAGGAAUAAAGAUUCUGGAGAUUCUAUGCAUUUUUUCAAACACUUAAUCCUAAAGAUAUUAUUCAUAUCGACAAAAUGACAUAACUCCCUAGUUGCCCUAAUAAUUUCCCUAAUAGAAUCAUAUCUGCAUUGCUACGUUUACUGUAAGUUAAAAUAGAUUUCCUUUUUCAUGCUGUCACGUAUUCCUCUAACAUUGAGUGAAGUUACUUUCAAAGAACUGAACUUGGAAGUCUGUCAUAGAUGAACAAAAUAUGAUUGAACUAGAUGUCUGUACAACAAAUGAAGGAUUGUAACUCUGAGAUAAUCUGAGAGUAAAGGCACUUGCGAGAAUAGAAAAAAACCUCUGAACAAAACGAGGUACCACAUAUAGACCAAAAAUUGACCAUGUAACAAAAUGGUCAUUAUCAAUGUGAAUCUUGCCUGUCUGCUCCUGCUAGGUCAUCCUAGGUUGGUUGGAUCUAUUGCUGAGGUCGUCAAAUUAUCACGUUCUUCCCAACGAUUAUAGGCGUAUCCAGCCCUUUUCCCUUCCUUACGUGCCUUAUCGACCAGUGGCCAUAGUUUGUGCCUUAGCUGCCUCUCAAGAUGGCAGAUCCUCUUUCACACAAAGCUUUCUCUCUUUCAGGACUUCCGCGUCAUGGAAUGCUCUCCAUAUCUUGUUUCUAAAUGAGCGCAUGGUGUAUUGCAUGAUAACAGGCCGGGUUGUCUUGUCGUUUCGGGGGUAUCCGUCUCUGUGCACCGUGUCCACCAGGUGUCCAAGUUUUUCCCUGUCUUUGGAGUUAUCUUGGCCAAAACAUUGAAAAUCUCUUUCCUCACAUCUUCAUUGCGGGUCUCAGGAAGGUAGAGCCGUAAAUUCCACCUCCUACUGUACCUUUCCGCCUCCUCACUUCUUUCUUGCAACUCAGUAACACGGCUUGUCAUUUUCUUCACAUUAUCCUCAUUUAUAUUAACUUUAAUUUCCACCCCUUUCAGGUCAUCACAUAUGUUGGUAAUAGCCUCUGUUCUUUGAUAUCUUUCAUUUGAGGGCUGUACAAUGGGUCGACAGCGCCGUGACCGCUUUCAGGAUGUCAGCAUUUGAAACAGUAGCCUUCAUAAUCUCGCCCUUCUCCUCCCUUGUGCAGCGCACUUUCUUUGGGUUAG
rnacentral:lncRNA from 1 species